rnacentral:rRNA from 1 species
AGAGUUGAUCAUGGCUCAGAGUGAACGCUGGCGGCAGGCCUAAUACAUGCAAGUCGAACGGCAGCACAGCAGAGCUUGCUCUGUGGGUGGCGAGUGGCGGACGGGUGAGGAAUACGUGGGAAUCUGCCCAGUCGUGGGGGAUAACGUAGGGAAACUUACGCUAAUACCGCAUGCGCCCUUCGGGGGAAAGCCGGGGACCUUCGGGCCUGGCGCGAUUGGAUGAGCCCACGUCGGAUUAGCUAGUUGGCGGGGUAAAGGCCCACCAAGGCGACGAUCCGUAGCUGGUCUGAGAGGAUGAUCAGCCACACUGGAACUGAGACACGGUCCAGACUCCUACGGGAGGCAGCAGUAGGGAAUAUUGGACAAUGGGCGCAAGCCUGAUCCAGCCAUGCCGCGUGAGUGAAGAAGGCCCUCGGGUUGUAAAGCUCUUUUGUCCGGAAAGAAAAGCGCCGGGUUAAUACCCCGGUGUCCUGACGGUACCGGAAGAAUAAGCACCGGCUAACUUCGUG